rnacentral:tRNA from 1 species
GGGGUCGUGGCCUAGUCCGGAAUGGCGACGGGCUCCAGCGGUCUUUGCAGGUGAUGAACAAUGGGUCUGCUGAUUCAGAGUGAUGAUCCGUUGGAGCACUGAUGCAUGUCGGAGAGACCCGUCGAUCGUGAGUUCAAAUCUCACCGACCCCA